GACGAACGCUGGCGGCGUGCUUAACACAUGCAAGUCGAGCGGUAAGGCCCUUUCGGGGGGUACACGAGCGGCGAACGGGUGAGUAACACGUGGGUGACCUGCCCUCAGCUCUGGGAUAAGCCUGGGAAACCGGGUCUAAUACCGGAUAUGACUCCAUGACGCAUGUUGUGGGGGUGGAAAGCCUUGUGCGGCUGAGGAUGGGCCCGCGGCCUAUCAGCUUGUUGGUGGGGGUGAUGGCCUACCAAGGCGACGACGGUAGCCGGCCUGAGAGGGCGACCGGCCACACUGGGACUGAGACACGGCCCAGACUCC
rnacentral:rRNA from 1 species